rnacentral:siRNA from 1 species
CGUGGUGGCUCCUAAAGCGC